UACGUAGGGUGCAAGCGUUGUCCGGAAUUAUUGGGCGUAAAGGGCUCGUAGGCGGUCCAUCGCGUCGGGAGUGAAAAGCUGGGGCUUAACCCCAGUCCUGCUUUCGAUACGGGUGGACUAGAGGUAGGCAGGGGAGAACGGAAUUCCUGGUGUAGCGGUGAAAUGCGCAGAUAUCAGGAGGAACACCAGUGGCGAAGGCAGGUCU
rnacentral:rRNA from 1 species